UACGAAGGGGGCAAGCGUUGUUCGGAAUUACUGGGCGUAAAGAGCACGUAGGUUGUAAGAUUAGUUAGAGGUGAAAUCCCAGGGCUUAACCCUGGAUGUGCCUUUAAUACUGUUUUACUAGAGUUUGUGAUGGGAUAGUGGAAUAUCUAGUGUAGAGGUAAAAUUCGUAGAUAUUAGAUGGAACACCAGAGGCGAAGGCGACUAUCUGGCACAAUACUGACACUGAGGUGCGAAAGCGUGGGGAGCAAACAGG
rnacentral:rRNA from 1 species